rnacentral:rRNA from 1 species
AUGGGCGGCGGCGUCGUCAGGUGCUGCGUCAAGAUCCUCGCGCUGCUCUCGCUCGUCCCGCUGGCGCUCAGGGCCGGCUCCUUCCUCGGCCACGUCGUCGCGCCGCCGCCCUCGUCGGCACGGCCAGCAGCCGCCGCCAGGAGAGCGAGCGUCGUCGCCGGCUCGGCGCACGUCAAGACGUCGGAGGGCGCUGCUCUGGCCGCCGCGAGGAACCGGAAUGGCGCCGGCGUAGGCGGGUUCGGCGACGACAAGAGGAUGGCGCCGUCCGGGUCCAACCCGCUGCACAACCUACGAUGA